rnacentral:lncRNA from 1 species
UCCCUCCUAACCUCAGUCUGCAACACCCCCACCCUCAGCCUCCAACCCUCCCAGCCUCCAACCCUCCCAGCCUCCAAUCCUCCCAUCCUCAGCCUCCAACCCUCCCAGCCUCCAACCCUCCCAGCACCUCAUCCCUCCCAGCCUCCAACCCUCCAGCCUCCAACCCUCUCAGCCUCCAACCCUCCCAGCCUCCAACCCUACCAGCCUCCAACCCUCUCAGUCUCCAACCCUCUCAGCCUCCAACCUGCCCAGCACCUCAUCCCUCCCAGCCUCAGUCUCCAACCCUUCCAGGCUCAUUCUCCAACCCUCCCAGCCUCCAACCCUCCUAGGCUCAGCCUCCAACCCUCCCAGCCUCCAACCCUCCCAGCACCUCAUCCCUCCCAGCCUCCAACCCUCCAGCCUCCAACCCUCUCAGUCUCCAACCCUCUCAGCCUCCAACCCUCCCAGCCUCCAACCCGCCCAGCACCUCAUCCCUCCCAGGCUCAGCCUCCAACCCUUCCAGUCUCAGCCUCCAACCCUCCCAGCCUCCAACACUCCCAGCACCUGAUCCCUCCUAAACUCAGUCUGCAACACCCCCACCCUCAGCCUCCAACCCUCCCAGCCUCCAACCCUCCCAGCCUCCAAUCCUCCCAGCCUCAGCCUCCAACCCUCCCAGCCUCCAACCCUCCCAGCACCUCAUCCCUCCCAGCCUCCAACCCUCCAGCCUCCAACCCUCUCAGCCUCCAACCCUCCCAGCCUCCAACCCUACCAGCCUCCAACCCUCUCAGUCUCCAACCCUCUCAGCCUCCAACCUGCCCAGCACCUCAUCCCUCCCAGCCUCAGUCUCCAACCCUUCCAGGCUCAGCCUCCAACCCUCCCAGCCUCCAACACUCCCAGCACCUGAUCCCUCCCAACCUCAGCCUCCAACACUCCCAGCACCUGAUCCCUCCCAGCCUCAGCCUCCAACCCUCCCAGCACCUGAUCCCUCCCAACCUCAGCCUCCAACCCUCCCAGCACUUCAUCUCUCCCAGCCUCAGCCUCCAACCCUCCCAGCACCUCAUCUCUCCCAGCCUCAGCCUCCAACCCUCCCAGCCUCAGCCUCGAUCCCUCCCAGCCUCAGCCUCCAACCCUCCCAGCCUCAGCCUCCAACCCACCCAGCCAGCCUCAGCCUCCAACCCUCCCAGCAAUUCAGCUCCAGGGGAGACCAACACAGAUACAAUGGAAGGCCAGAAGGAAUUCAGACUGAAAUAUGGAAUCAGAAGCCUGCAUGUGCCUGGGUCAGAAAUAAGGCUUGUCGAUGAAUACAUCUAUCUGGGUGUUUAUUAUGCAGACUGUACUAAGAUUGGGACCAGAACAACUGCCUUCCUACACUUAGCAUUAUAA